rnacentral:rRNA from 1 species
UACGUAGGGUGCAAGCGUUGUCCGGAAUUAUUGGGCGUAAAGAGCUUGUAGGCGGUUUGUCGCGUCUGCUGUGAAAUUUCGGGGCUCAACCCCGAACUUGCAGUGGGUACGGGCAGACUAGAGUGUGGUAGGGGAGACUGGACUUCCUGGUGUAGCGGUGAAAUGCGCAGAUAUCAGGAGGAACACCGAUGGCGAAGGCAGGUCUCUGGGCCAUAACUGACGCUGAGAAGCGAAAGCAUGGGGAGCGAACAGG